rnacentral:rRNA from 1 species
AUUGAACGCUGGCGGCAGGCCUAACACAUGCAAGUCGAACGGAUCGGCGGACGGGUAAGGAAUGCCUAGGAAUCUGCCUGUUAGUGAGGGAUAACGUUCGGAAACGGACGCUAUUACCAAUUACUAUCAGAUUAGCAUAGGUCGGAUUAGCUUGGUGGUGGGGUAACGGCCUACCAAGGCGACGAUCCGUAACUGGUCUGAGUGGAUGAACAGUCACACUGGAACUGAGACACGGUCCAGACUCCUACGGGAGGCAGCAGUGGGGAAUAUUGGACAAUGGGCGAAAGCCUGAUCCAGCCAUGCCGCGUGUGUGAAGUAGGUCUUCGGAUUGUAAAGCACUUUAAGUUGGGAGGCGUUACCAACAGAAUAAGCACCGGCUAACUUCGUGCCAGCAGCCGCGGUAAUUC